rnacentral:rRNA from 1 species
GACGAACGCUGGCGGCGUGCUUAACACAUGCAAGUCGAACGGAAAGGCCCUGCUUUUGUGGGGUGCUCGAGUGGCGAACGGGUGAGUAACACGUGAGUAACCUGCCCUUGACUUUGGGAUAACUUCAGGAAACUGGGGCUAAUACCGGAUAGGAGCUCCUGCUGCAUGGUGGGGGUUGGAAAGUUUCGGCGGUUGGGGAUGGACUCGCGGCUUAUCAGCUUGUUGGUGGGGUAGUGGCUUACCAAGGCUUUGACGGGUAGCCGGCCUGAGAGGGUGACCGGCCACAUUGGGACUGAGAUACGGCCCAGACUCCUACGGGAGGCAGCAGUGGGGAAUAUUGCACAAUGGGCGGAAGCCUGAUGCAGCAGCGCCGCGUGCGGGAUAACGGCCUUCGGGUUGUAAACCGCUUUCGCCUGUGACGAAGCGUGAGUGACGGUAAUGGGUAAAGAAGCACCGGCUAACUACGUG